GGCCCGUUAGCUAAGUUUUUUUUUAAAAAAAAAAAGAAAAAAAAAGUUGGUUAGAGCGUCGUGCUAAUAACGCGAAGGUCGUGGGUUCAAUCCCCCCACGGGCCA